GGAAGAGCCCAGCACUAAAUCCAGCAACCGGAGACGGACGCUGGGAAAUGUAAUGUUAGGGAGAAUCCGGGUGCGUUGCGGCGAGUUCAAGAUCAUUUACCCAUAGAUGGUGCCAGGCCCGUGGUGAACGUUGCGCGUAUCGAGAGGAUCUCUCAUCAGAGUCGAGUUGCUUGAGAGUGCAGCUAUAAGUGGGUGGUAAACUCCUUCUAAGGCUAAAUAUGACCGCGGGCCGGUAGCGAGCAAGUACCGUGAGGGAAAGUUGAAAAGAACUUUGAAGAGAGAGUUCAAGAGCACGUGAAACCGUUCAGGGGUAAACCUGAGAAACCCGAAAGAUCGAAAGGAAAGAUUUAAUGUUAUCGUUGUCUUCCAUUUAUUGGCGUGCUAUUGACCGGGAUUCGUCUUGCGAUACGCCGUCGGUUUAUGCGUUAGGCGCCGAUGGCAUGCACUUCUCUCUCAGUAGGACGUCGCGACCCGUUUGGUGUCGAUCUACUUUCAGGACUCGUCUUGAAACACGGACCAAGGAGUCUAGCAUGUGUGCGAGUCAUUGGGAAAUAUAAAACCUAAAUGCGCAAUGAACGUAAAGGUUUCUUAAGUGAACUGAGGGAUGACGGACUGCAUGUACGAAUGCGUGCUUGCAAUCCCGGCGCGUUUCACUCUCAUUACGAGAAUAGACGCACUCAGAGCGUACACGGUAGGACCUGAAAGAUGAUAAACUAUGCCCGGUCAGGUCAAAGUUAGGGAAAACCCUGAUGGAGGACCGUAGCGAUUCUGACGUGCAAAACGUUCGUCGGAACAUGGUAUAGGGGCGAAAGACUAAUUGAACCAUCUAGUAGCUGGUUCCCUUCGAAGUUUCCCUCAGGAUAGCUGGCAUGCGAUGAUCGAGUCUCAUUUGGUAAAGCGAAUGAUUAGAGGCCUUGGGGCCGAAACGACCUCAACCUAUUCUCAAACUUUAAAUGGGUGAGAUCUCCGGCUUGCUUGAAUAGUGAAGCCGGAGAUUUAGUUUAGAGUGCCUAGUGUGCCAUUUUUGGUAAGCAGAACUGGCGCUGUGGGAUGAACCAUCGCCGAGUUAAGGCGCCUAAACGACGCUCAUGGGAUACCAUGAAAGGCGUUAGUUGCUAAAGAUAGCAGGACGGUGGCCAUGGAAGUUGGAGUCCGCUAAGGAGUGUGAAACAACUCACCUGCCAAAGCAACUGGCCAUGAAAAUGGAUGGCGCUGAAGCGUCGUGCCUUUACUCGUCCGCCAGGGCAUGAGGAGCGUUCAUUAUAGUUCGUUUUGGAACCCUGGUGAGUAGGAGGGGCGUGGUGGUGUGUUCAGAAGGGUUUGGGCGUAAGCCUGCCUGGAGCCGCUAUCGGUGCAGAUCUUUGUCAGUCCUCCAGCGAGGCCCUGGAAGACUGACGUGGAGAAGGGUUUUGUGUGAACAGCCCUUGCACACGAGUCAGUCGAUCCUAAGCCCUAGGAGAAAUCCUAUGUUGAUGUUGGUAUAUUUUAUUUUGAAUAAAAUCUCACAACCAUUGGGAAUAAGGGAAUCCAGUUCCUAUUCCGGAACCCGGCAGCGAAACCGUCUAUAAGUCGGGCCCUCGCAAGGAAUUUCAUCGAGGUAACCCAAAAUGACCUGGAAAAGCCGUCGGGAAAUACGGGGAGAGAUUUCUUUUCCGUAUGAGCGUUUGAGUUUCCUAGAAUCCUCUAGUAGGGAGAUAGGGUUUGGAACGCGAAGAGCACCGCAGUUGCGGCGGUGUCCGUAUCUUGCCCUCGGAUCUUAAAAAUCCAUGAGAGGGCCACGGUAGGUGUCGCGCCGGUUUGUACUCAUAUCCUCAGCAGGUCUCCAAGGUGAAGAGCCUCUAGUCGAUAGAUUAAUGUAGGUAAGAAAAGUCGGCAAAUUGAAUCCGUAACUUCGGGAUGAGGAUUGGCUCUGAGGAUCGGGGCGUGCCGGGCUUGGUUGGGAAACCGAGCCUGGGCGAGGUAAAAUAGUCCUUGUGACUUAGAUCCGAGCUCUGUCCCGUGCCUAGACCCUCCGCCGAUCUUUCUCGCUUCGAGUUUUCUGUGCCGGCUUUGGUCGGUCAAUCGUAAUCUCCGGCCGCUAUUCAACGGUCAGCUCAGAACUGGCACGGACUAGACAAAUCCAAUUGUCUAAUUAAAACAAAGCAUUGCGAUGGCCCUAGCGGGUGUUGACGCAAUGUGUAUUCUGCCCAGUGCUCUGAAUGUCAACGUGAAGAAAUUCAAGCAAGCGCGGGUAAACGUCGGAAGGUAUCCAAAUGCUUCGUCAUCUAAUUAGUGAUCCGCAUGAAUGGAUUAACGAGAUUUUCACUAUCCCUAUCUACUUGCCUGCAGAUGCCCUAGCGCGCUGCUGCCGGUCCUAAGCCCGGGUAAAGGAGAAAGGUUGUGGGGCGAGAACAACUUUGAUCCCACAUAAAAGCGGCACAUACCGCAAGCUUUAGGUCAUGUCUCUGGAGAGCGGGGUCCUUGGCUUAAUCGCCCGGGUCACGAGAAAGGAUCCUCUAUAAAAAAAACACCCUCAACUUUAAGGUAGAGCGCGCGCCGAAGGUGUGAAUGGCUGUGAGGAAAUACAGCUACGAGCGGCCAACUCCGAGGCACCAGCCGACACCUCGGCAGUAAUAGGGUUACCCAGGCAUUGGGUGCACUACCUGGGC
rnacentral:rRNA from 1 species